CCUACGGGAGGCAGCAGUGAGGAAUAUUGGUCAAUGGGCGAGAGUCUGAACCAGCCACGUAGCGUGCAGGAUGACUGCCCUACGGGUUGUAAACUUCUUUUAUAUGGGAAUAAAAUGUUACACGUGUGGGAUUUUGUAUGUACCAUCUGAAUAAGGAUCGGCUAACUCCGUGCCAGCAGCCGCGGUAAUACGGAGGAUCCGAGCGUUAUCCGGAUUUAUUGGGUUUAAAGGGAGCGUAGGCGGACUGUUAAGUCGGUUGUGAAAGUUUGGGGCUCAACCGGAAAAUUGCAGAUGAAACUGGCAGUCUUGAGUACAGUAGAGGGAGGCGGAAUUCGUGGUGUAGCGGUGAAAUGCUUAGAUAUCACGAAGAACUCCGAUUGCGAAGGCAGGUCACUGGACUUCAACUGACACUGAGGCUCGAAAGUGAGGGUAUCAAACAGGAUUAGAUACCCUUGUAGUC
rnacentral:rRNA from 1 species